CCUCUAUAAUUUUUUUAUUUUUUAGAGCUCACAAAAGAUAAUCGCAGAUGCGAAUGAGAUUUUUUUCUGAGAUUUUUCCUGAUUAAGCUCAAAAAAUAUUAGCCCCAAGUCUCCAUAGAGCCUUUUUUUUUUUGUUUCCUUUUUAUUUUCCUGGUUAUGCACAAAGAAGAAAAUACCCAAAUUUUGAUGUGGGUUUUCUGUUUAUUGAGAAGCACUAUUUGGGGCUCGAGAGUUUGAUUAAUUUAAUUUUGUGUCUAUUAUGUAUUUUUUUUUGGGUUUUAGGUGUUUGAUUAAUUGAUCAUUGUUGCUGUCGUUGAUGAUGUUGUUUUUGUGGUGUGUCAUUGAACUAAUUUUCAUUUGGUUUUAUGCAUUCAUAAAACCAGUAUUCUUUCAUUCUUUUUAUUUUUGUUUAUUGAUGAAAGCUUAUUUAGGAGGUUGUAUUAUGCAGUAGGAUUUGAUAAACUAUUAUGCAGUACGAUUUCAUUGCCUUCACUUUACUUGUUUGUUGUCAUGCUACCAUCAUGUAUGGCUUUUUGUAUUGCUAUUCUUUUUUCAUUUCUUUUUUUUAUGCUUAAAUAGUUACAAUCUCUGUGAGUUUUGGUUCUUUUUCUGGGAUGAUGUUUUCUUUGAUUGUGUCGUUAUAUAUUGCUCGUUUUCAAUUAUUUUUUACUUGCUCGAGGGUCUGUCAAUUAUGCCGGACAUGUUUUGUUGUUUUGUGAAAGUUAUAACCAUUUCACAUUGGAUUUAGUCUGAGAAAAGAUAAAAGAAAAGGUUUGUAUCAUUUUCUUUGUAUCUCAAGCUAUUAGCUUAUAGAGAGUCUGCUGCCAAAUGGUGGGUGAACAUGUACAGAGCCAACUAAAUUUGAUUCUAAUCCUCCAACUAAACCUAAGCCACAUUGCACAAAAGAAAAAAUUCAAGCUACCAAAAAGUUGAGGAAAACCAUCUCAUUAGUUACAUAUUCCAUUGGGAAAGUUUCACAGAUGAGUGGUUUUCAAUGCAAUACUAACUGCUCCAUAGGAUUGCUACCAUUGGCAAAGGUUGAAUACAUGGUGGAAUCAAAAGUCAUACCACCAAAAAUGGCACUCCAUUAACAGUUGCUUAAAUGAGUACAUCAUAGGCCGUAUUGUUCAUAGGAUGUAAGCAAUUCCAUUGUGGCAUGUUGAGUUCUCUUAGGCAAUUUGGUUCUCUAUAUUCUUAUUUAUGUCUGUUGAUUUCUCGUAACAUACAAAUUACAGAAGUAUUGUGAUUGGGAACAAAUAUUUUUGCAUUCAGCAAUUAAAAUGUCAUCCGCUUCCACAUUUAGGAAGCUUGGUUUUCUUUAACAAUUGUUGAGAUGAGGCUUUAUGUUUAUUUUCUCUGUAAUUUGAUAUGAAGUCAAUGGAGUAGCAGGAAUAUGAACUUAUGUCGCUGUUAAGUCUACUGUUUAGACAAUUGUAUUUCGGGGGAAUACGUUGCUAUCUUGAAAGGCCAUAUGUAUUUAGAGUAAUAGUCAAUGGAUAUUGGUAUGUGAUUGUUUUUUGGUGGUUAAUGUGGAUGUUUAUGUGAUUGAGUUUUGGUGGUUAAUGUAGAUGUCUGUGUGAUUGAUUUUUGGUGGUUAAUGUGGAUGUCUAUGUGAUUGAUUUUUGGUGGUUAAUGUAGAUGUUUAUGUGAUUGAACGGUUAAUGUAGAUGUUUAUGUGCCCACACAUCAGUAAGUUCAAUAGGCAAUUUCUUUUCUAGAAGAAAUAAGAGUCCAAUAUUUUUCUGAUUUGUGAGUACUCCAAUAUCCAAUAACCAGCCAUGGCCUUUGAAACCAUGGACAUUCCAUGAUAGCACUGACAUAUAUACAUUAAGAAUUUAAAGACUUGUCGAGAGUAUUUGAAUUUUAGGAAAUAAGGAACCUUUCUUUCCUUGAGCUCUUAGGCCAUUUGUUGGUUAUUAGCAUCAGGUAUUCCCCACUUUAUUGCAAUCUUGGCCACUAAAAUUUUCUCUUAUAACUUCACGAGGCCAGCUUCCAGGCAUUGAGCCUUUGUAUUCUUGCCUGACUUUGAUUAAAGGGAUAUGAAUUCAAAUGGGGAGAGAAAGUGUGUUCAUAUGCAUGUUUAUAUCCUUGGUACAUCGUAUCCCUGAGAAAGUGUGUUCAUUUCAGACAGAUAUGCAUGUUUAUGUCCUUCCUACAUUGUAUCAUAUAUGUCCAAGCAAUCAUAACUUGAAAUUUUCAGCCACUUGUGAGGAAAACAUUGGAAUUUUCAGUUUCUAGUUUCCCGUUAUAGAAUAUUUUUUUAAAGUUUUUGACACAACUCAUUUGAGAGAGCUGAUACCCAGGAAGUUUUCUAAAAUUCUCAUGUAACGUAGGGAUCAAUGUUUGACAUUACCAUAUAACAGAAGCUUACUACUAGUUUGACUCUAGAAUCUGAGUGGAAUCGACUGAAGCAAGUCAACUCAACUCGGCUCAACUUUCCAAACAAUAUCUUGAAAACAUAGAUGCUUCAAUUUCUCCAAAAAUUUUAACUGUGUUAAUGUUUGGAUUAUUUUUACAAAGUUUUGAUGCUGAUUUUUUUCUUGGCAUUUUCCAUUGGAUCUCUAUCGUUAUCUUAUGUGGCUGAGUUGUUAGACAAAGAAUUACAGUACACAGUUAUGGUUAUCACAAGAAUGCAAACAAUGCUUCCAUGGAGAAAACUUUGAAUAAGGAAAGGAAUAUCAUUAAGAAAUUACUUCAUUUUGGUGUUUAACCAAACCAAGCCCCAGGGACUUACCUAUAGCUUGAAUACUCUCCAUAGUUGAUACUGUAUCUGUUUUUGUGUUUGUAGUGGCAUGAAAUGCUAUCAUCGUCUCUAUUUUCUUGUUCAUGCCCUAAUGGAAAUGGGCUUUCUUGAACGCAACAAAAUAAAUUAGGUUAAUAGGGAAAUAAGAGUGUUGGGGUUUGUGGCUUUUAAAGGCCGUGAGAGCUUAUAUAUAUCAUUUAUAGUGCAUUAUGCAAUUUAGUGGGAGUGUGAGUGUAACUGACCAAAUUUGAUUCAUUUAUAGUGCAUUAUGCAAUCAUCUCUUGUACAUUUACCUUUUGUACAAGGUGGUCACUAUUAAUCUUGAUCAUUGGAUGUAAAAUGAGGUGGCGACAUUUAUUUCGUUGACCAAGCUCAAAGUUUAAAAGAAAUUUUCUCGAACUUUGUGACACACUCAAGCUAUCAGAUUUCACAUAGGAUGGUUGUAAGUAAUUGUGACCUCCCUAUACCAAAGGUAAAUGGUCUCAUUGUAUGCAAUCCCAUCUUUUAAAUGUAAUAUGUGACCUUUUUUUUUUUGGUAGGAGUGACCAAAAAUAUUAGUUUGACUUUCCACCAUUACUGACAAAUAACGAAGUUCUAGGUGUUUAAAUUGGUUUUAUCCUAAUUAGACUAGAAAUGGAUUUGGGUAUGCCUCCCUAAAUUAUAAUGGCUGAUUUGUGGGAUAGAUUGCUCAAAGUUUUUCUCUCACCUCACAGAUUUCCUAAAUUCCUAGUUGAUCAAGGUUAAUCAUUAAAUAGGCAUUACCUAGGGGGUCUUGAGACUUGUAUAAGGAGGUGAGCCCCCCUCCUCAUAAGACACAAUUGGAGCCUCUGUCUCCUUUCUCUCCUCCACGCCCCAAAUUCUCUCUCUAACAUCUCUAGUUAUUAUCUCUCUCCUCCCUCUCUCUCUAGGUGGCAUGCCACCCUAUAAUAAAUUUAAAGGGGGUAGCAUGCGAACCCUAAUAAGGUUACAUUGUAGAGAGGGGCACCUAGCCUAGAAAGGGAGGUGCCUUUGAGGCAUGCCCUAAUAUGUUCCUAAGGAGUUCUAACCAAAUCCUAAUUGUCUUUUAUGCUCUCUAAAACCCUAGUUUAUGAAGUAUUGCUUAUAGAAGCUUCUCGGCUUUGAAAAUUCAGCAAGACCAUCAGGAUCGAAGUGUGCUAUUCGUCAGAAAAUCGAGUGUGGGGUGUACUAAGUCCUAUGAGGUUGACCUUGAGCAUAAUCCAGUAAGUCUUUCCAGCUAUUUAGUUAUUUUUUAGUCUUAGCUGCUUGGUUAUUCUGAUUUUUCUGGAACAUUAUUUGUACUUAAAUUGAUACAUAGAAGUUUGGUUUUUGGUGGUAAAAAGAAAGGUUUUGGGUUAUAUUUAGGGUUUUAUUUUUUGUUUACAGCAGUAUAUUGUAACACUUGUACAUGGAAUUCGGAUUUAAUAAUAAAGAAAAUUAAUAAUUUUAUUUUUGUUUUAUAGUCUCGAAUUCCACACAUCCACACCUUUCAAAGAGGGGGAGAUUUUCAAUUUAUUUUUAGGUGCUGGUUAUGGGGAUCACCUAAACUGGCACACAUCCUCACAUUCUGGAUUAGUGAUUGUGUAAACUGCAAGUAUCCAAUCUGUUUUGAGUUUAAAUAACACAAAAUUGCUUCAAAUUCCUUUUGCUGGUUAUCUCAGGAAAACGCAAAGGAUUUUCUAGCUAUUAGUUUUUCUUCUUACACAAAAAUAAAUUAAAAAUUAUACAUCAGAAAUUUCUCGUUAUGGCUACCCCUUUUCCAUUACUAUGGCCCUUUUCAUGAGGGGGAGUGUUAACUCCUGGCUAGUCAUCUAUAUUUCCUAGUUGCAUUUCCCAUGCGUCUCAAUUGGUAAUGUUUAUUUUUCAUGUGCUUGACGAAACUUUCUCCUUGAUCAAGUGGCUAACAGGACCUUGUUAUCUAUAGAUUAGUUCACUGCAUGCUAGAAAUUUUGUUUUUCCUCUUCAAGACUAAUCCCAUUUCCUUCUCCUUGAAGUAUGUGGGUAAUGGGGUGCAUGAGAGACUUCAUAUGCCCAUGAUGCUAGAAUUUGUGGACUCGUUCUGGCGGUUUCUAGGCAUGUGUGAGAUUUGUUGUGUGAAAGGAAAGUAUAUAUUGUAUAUCCGGUUAAUGAUAAUGGAGGGAUUCAAACCCUCACCAUGACAGACAAUAAGCAUGCACACUACCCAGCGCACGACUUGAGUGUUCCGUAUGUUUUGUUGGUUUUGUUUUGUGAUCUUUGUGUUCUUCAUGUGAAGUAAAUAAAAACAUGCAAAUGGCUUGAAAAUGAAGUUUUUGUGUGUAUCACUAUUUUUAGUGAAUUCUCUAGUAUAUAUAUGGGAUACCCAGCUAAAGUAGAUAUGUAUAUUCCAGAAAGAAAAGCAGAAAAUGACUACUAAUCUGAAUGUGUGUGUUCAGUAAGUUUAGUUGUUGAUGGAUUAGAUAUGGGUACACUAACUUCAUGCAGGAAAUUGAAUGAGGUUUGUUGUUGCGGCAACACAAUCCAGAGCCUGUUGUCAAUAUGGUGAGGCAGCAGUUCAAGAAAAAUAUGCACAAGACUGAUCCAGAGAAGAUCUAAAAGAUGAAGGAUGACACGGCGAGUGGCCUAAUCAAUCAUAUCCCUUAUGAAUCAGACAAGCUUACAGGGCGUAAAUUCACAAGCUCUUGAUGUUUUGUAAUGCUAGGGCUGGCGAUGAAUGAUUUUCACAAAAUUUUGUAUCCUCUUUGCUAGUGAGAUGACUUUAGAAAAAGUACUAUUUUUUGUCA